rnacentral:rRNA from 1 species
UCAAGCGAGAGCAGGUCCAUGGCGGAUGCCUUGGAGCCGUCCGGCGAAGAAGGGCGCGGCAGGCCGCGAAAGGCCCGGGGGAGGAGCGAACGUCCAGCGAUCCCGGGAUUCCCGAAUGGGGCAACCCGCACGGCGCGAGCCGUGCAUCCGAACGCCUGAACGAAAUAGGGCGCGGAGGCCACACUGCGUGAAGUGAACCAUCUAAGUAACGCGGGAAAAGAAAUCAACAGAGAUUCCCCAAGUAGCGGCGAGCGAACGGGGAGGAGCCCAAACCGCAUUAGCGGGGUUGCAGGGCCGCGCGGGGACGACCCGCGGAGUUAAGAGAAAACAGGAGACUAGCCGAACGCGCCGGACAGCGCGGCCAGAGAGGGUGACGGCCCCGUAGGCGAAAGGAUCCUGACUCCGUGGCGCGGUUCCUAAGUAGGGCGGGGCACGUGGAACCCUGCCCGAAUCCGGGUCGACCACGAUCCAAGGCUGAAUACGGACGGCUACCGAUAGCGCAUAGUACCGUGAGGGAAAGGUGAAAAGAACCCCGGCGAGGGGAGUGAAAGAGAACCUGAAACCAUGGACCUUCAAGAUGCCGCGGGCGGCGACGCUUGCGGCGUGUCUUUUGUAGAAUAAACCUGCGAGUCGCGGUAUGGGGCGAGGCUAAGGGAUCGGAGUCCCGGAGCCGGAGCGAAAGCGAGUCCGAAACGGGCGGAUAAGUCCCAUGCCGCGGACCCGAAGCCAAGGUGAUCUUGCCACGGGCAGGCUGAAACGGGGGUGACACCCCGCGGAGGGCCGAACGGUAAUCUGUUAAAAAAGGUAGCGAUGACCCGCGGCAAGGAGUGAAAGGCUAAACAAACCUGGAGAUAGCUGGCUCUCCCCGAAAUGCCUUUAGGGACAGCCUCAUGGAAAGUUCGCGGAGGUAGAGCGCUGGAUGGACGAGGGGGCGUCAAAACCUACCGAAGCCAAUCAAACUCCGAAUGCCGCGAACCAGCCCAUGGGAGUGAGACCGCGAGCUCUAAGGUCCGCGGUCGAGAGGGAAACAGCCCGGACCGGCGGUUAAGGCCCCAAAGCCGCGCUAAGUGUGAAAUGAAGUGGGGAUGCAAGGACAGCCAGGAGGUUGGCUCAGAAGCAGCCAUUCCUUGAAAGAGUGCGUAACAGCUCACUGGUCGAGCACCCCCGCGCAGACAAUGUAACGGGGCUAAGCGCGGCGCCGAAACCCCGGAUUCAUUCCUUUCGGAAUGACUGGUAGGGGAGCGUUGGACCAACCCAUGAAGGAGGACCCGCGAGGGCUUCUGGAGGAAGUCCAAGAGAGAAUGCAGGCAUAAGUAACGAAAAGACGGGUGAAAUCCCCGUCCGCCGAAAGCCUAAGGUUUCCAGGGCAAGGGCAAUCCGCCCUGGGUAAGUCGGCCCCUAAGCUCAGGCUGAAAAGCGUAGGCGACGGGAAUCCGGUCCACAUUCCGGAACCCGUCCAGUUUCUAUCGGAGCGACGCGUGAGGAGAUUUCCGGCGGGAGAACGGUAGUUCCCGUCCAAGCGUCCGACCCGACGAGGCGGGGGUCAAAAGACCCGCCGAGGGAAGGCGUGACGGCGAGGCCCCCUUUGGGGGGAGGAAGCGGAAGGAUUCAAGGCGCCGGGAAAGAGCUCCUAGGCUAGGCUGGACGGACCGUACCGCAAACCGACACAGGUAGGCGGGAUGAGCAAUCUAAGGCGCACGAGAGAACCCGCGCUAAGGAACUCGGCAAAAUGCGCACGUAACUUCGGGAGAAGUGCGGCCCGCGUUUGAAAGAAUUGCGGGCCUCAGAAAGCGGGCCCAGGCGACUGUUUAUCAAAAACACAGCCAUCUGCGAACCAGCGAUGGGACGUAUAGGUGGUGACACCUGCCCGGUGCCGGAAGGUUAAGGGGAGCGGUCAGCCGCAAGGCGAAGCUGCGAACCGAAGCCCCGGUAAACGGCGGCCGUAACUAUAACGGUCCUAAGGUAGCGAAAUUCCUUGUCGGGUAAGUUCCGACCCGCACGA